UUAUAUUUAAUGAACUCAUAA
rnacentral:piRNA from 1 species